GGAUGUGAGGGUGAUCUGGCUAUGACAUCUCACCACACUGAUCACCAGGAUUGAUUCGGCUAGGCCAGCAGAUGUCCCCUUCCUCCCUCAACAAUCCAUAUAUAUCCCUCCUAAACUGUAUGGUUGGUCAAAGAGGAUGACCACUCCUGAUAGAAGACCAUUCCUCAGUCAAACAUAUACGAGUAGCUGUGCUCCCCUGCUAGAACCUCCAAACAAGCUCAUAUGAAAAACCCAAAUUAUAAAUGAAGAGCAAAAUAAAAGGAAGUAUGGAGAUACAUAUAUCUCAAAUG
ensembl:misc_RNA 7SK 7SK RNA